UACGUAUGGUGCAAGCGUUGUUCGGAAUUACUGGGCGUAAAGAGUGCGCAGGCGGAUUAUUAAGUCAGAAGUGAAAACUAUGGGCUCAACCCAUAGCCUGCUUUUGAAACUGGUGAUCUGGAGUCCCGGAGAGGCUGGUGGAAUUCCUGGUGUAGCGGUGAAAUGCGUAGAUAUCAGGAGGAACACCUAUGGCGAAGGCAGCCAGCUGGACGGUGACUGACGCUGAGGCACGAAAGCGUGGGGAGCAAACGGG
rnacentral:rRNA from 1 species